AUUGAACGCUGGCGGCAGGCCUAACACAUGCAAGUCGAACGGUAACAGGAAGAAGCUUGCUUCUUUGCUGACGAGUGGCGGACGGGUGAGUAAUGUCUGGGAAACUGCCUGAUGGAGGGGGAUAACUACUGGAAACGGUAGUUAAUACCGCAUAAUGUCGCAAGACCAAAGAGGGGGACCUUCGGGCCUCUUGCCAUCGGAUGUGCCCAGAUGGGAUUAGCUAGUAGGUGGGGUAACGGCUCACCUAGGCGACGAUCCCUAGCUGGUCUGAGAGGAUGACCAGCCACACUGGAACUGAGACACGGUCCAGACUCCUACGGGAGGCAGCAGUGGGGAAUAUUGCACAAUGGGCGCAAGCCUGAUGCAGCUAUGCCGCGUGUAUGAAGAAGGCCUUCGGGUUGUAAAGUACUUUCAGCGGGGAGGAAGGGAGUAAAGUUAAUACCUUUGCUCAUUGACGUUACCCGCAGAAGAAGCACCGGCUAACUCCGUG
rnacentral:rRNA from 1 species